CAGUCGCCGCGGUAAUACGGAGGGUGCAAGCGUUAAUCGGAAUUACUGGGCGUAAAGCGCACGCAGGCGGUUUGUUAAGUCAGAUGUGAAAUCCCCGAGCUUAACUUGGGAACUGCAUUUGAAACUGGCAGGCUAGAGUCUUGUAGAGGGGAGUAGAAUUCCAGGUGUAGCGGUGAAAUGCGUAGAGAUCUGGAGGAAUACCGGUGGCGAAGGCGGCCCCCUGGACAAAGACUGACGCUCAGGUGCGAAAGCGUGGGGAGCAAACAGGAUUAGAUACCCGAGUAGUCCCUGUCUCUUAUAC
rnacentral:rRNA from 1 species